rnacentral:tRNA from 5 species
GCCCAGAUAGCUCAGUUGGUAGAGCAGGGGAUUGAAAAUCCCCGUGUCGGCGGUUCGAUUCCGUCUCUGGGCACCA